AUUGAACGCUGGCGGCAUGCUUUACGCAUGCAAGUCGAACGGUAACAGGUUAAGCUGACGAGUGGCGAACGGGUGAGCAAUGCAUCGGAACGUGCCCGGUCGUGGGGGAUAACGCAGCGAAAGCUGCGCUAAUACCGCAUACGAUCUGAGGAUGAAAGCGGGGGACCGUAAGGCCUCGCGCGAUCGGAGCGGCCGAUGUCAGAUUAGGUAGUUGGUGGGGUAAAGGCUCACCAAGCCGACGAUCUGUAGCUGGUCUGAGAGGACGACCAGCCACACUGGGACUGAGACACGGCCCAGACUCCUACGGGAGGCAGCAGUGGGGAAUUUUGGACAAUGGGCGCAAGCCUGAUCCAGCAAUGCCGCGUGCAGGAAGAAGGCCUUCGGGUUGUAAACUGCUUUUGUACGGAGCGAAAAGGCUCUCUCUAAUACAGGGGGCUCAUGACGGUACCGUAAGAAUAAGCACCGGCUAACUACGUGCCAGCAGCCGCCGCCGUAA
rnacentral:rRNA from 1 species